rnacentral:lncRNA from 1 species
GUACUAGAGAUGCAAAGAUAAUAUAGACAUAAGGCUUAUAUUCUUCUGGAGGACAUGCAAUCAUGAAAUGUGCGGCUAUAUCAUGGGAUGGUCAAUGCUAUUCUAGAGGGUUCUCUGUUGGAUGGAGAAAUGGCUACAGCAGAAGUCAAAGCAGUCUUCUGUGGGUGAACAUGCUGACUUUUCCAAAGCAGGGCCAGCUUCUGGGUGGAGAUUCUGAGCAGUGGCUAUACCUUCUUCCACCUCCUCUUUGGUGUUACUAAGAAGGAUUUGGAUUUUUUAUGGGGGCAGGUUGGAAAUUGUUGCCUCCAGUACAUAGUCUGACAGUCUCUCUGUGGGGAAAAGACCUCUUCGAUCUGAGUCCUAGAAAAUCUUUU